AGCCAUACCAUGUUGAAAAUACUGGUUCUCAUUCGAUCACCAAAGUUAAGCAUCAUCGGGCGCGGUCAGUACUUGGGAGGUUGACAACCUGGGAACACCUCGCGCGGU